UACGUAGGGUGCAAGCGUUGUCCGGAAUUAUUGGGCGUAAAGAGCUCGUAGGCGGCUUGUUGCGUCGGCUGUGAAAUCCCGGGGCUUAACUCCGGGCGUGCAGCCGAUACGGGCAGGCUAGAGUCCGGUAGGGGAGACUGGAAUUCCUGGUGUAGCGGUGAAAUGCGCAGAUAUCAGGAGGAACACCGGUGGCGAAGGCGGGUCUCUGGGCAAUUCCUGACGCUGAGGCGCGAAAGCGUGGGGAGCAAACGGG
rnacentral:rRNA from 1 species